rnacentral:lncRNA from 1 species
UAAGAUUGUCCAAAUAUUACAGAUGCAACGUCUGUUUAUGUGGCGUGAAUACCAAAAUUGCAACGUCUGUUUUAAACCAAAAUUGCCCUUAUAUCCUUGUUCUCUCCUCGUUUUUACAUCACUUUUGUUUGGGAGAGGAUCUCUCCGACGCCGUUCAUGACAGUCCGGUAGAUCGAUCCUUCUCCCCCCUUUGAGAAUCGGAAUCUGCGCAUCACCGACGGAAGUUAGCGAUCUGGUGGUCGUCUGGAGGCACUGCUCACUCCGAAGCGGUGAAAUCUAUGAGAUCUCCAGGGCGUCGCUGAUGCUCUAGUGGCUCGUCGGACAACGACUUGCUCUUUCUACUAGAGGACGGUGCAGAGGCUCGCUCGGCUUCGCAAGUCAGUGAUCGGGGCGCGGAGGCGUGCACCGCGGCUGUGAGGGUGGCUGUCGGCGAUAGAGCUUUCCGAGGAGAUGGCGGUUCUCCUCGCUGUGCAUCUUGUCAAAGCGGUCCCCUCUUGACCGGUGGAUUUAGGGUUUUGUGCGCAUAGAUCUAGUGUUUCUGGCGGCAGCUCUACAGAGCUAAAGAAUGAGCUAGGGUUUAAGAGUCUGGUUCUACGGAAAUGGGCGUCAGGGCCGCGGGACUACCUCCGAAGGUGGGUUGUGGUAGGAAGGCCAACUGUUUGACAGAUCUAUGAUCGGUCUCGAACACGCCGGUCUUGGAGAUGUCGCGGGAACACCGGAAUGUUCUCCUCCACCUGUGUCUUGUCGGAGAUGGAAGCUUUGCGCUUCAUCUGUGUUCUUUCCCUCGCUCGAUUCUCUUGUUUUUUAGAUUUAGUUCUUGUUUCUGGGCUUGCUGUCGUUGUGUUUUAGAUUUAGUUCUUGUUUCUGGGAUUGUUGUCGUUGUACUUUCAGAUACUCAUUGUUUCUCUGGUGUUCCGGAGCUUGUAAUCUUUCGGAUCCUCAUGACGUAGGG